GACGAACGCUGGCGGCGUGCUUAACACAUGCAAGUCGAACGGAGCGCUUUUGAUAGAGACUUCGGUCAAUGGAUGAAGUUGCUUAGUGGCGGACUGGUGAGUAACGCGUGAGGAACCUGCCUUUCAGAGGGGGACAACAGUUGGAAACGACUGCUAAUACCGCAUGAUACAUUGUUGGGGCAUCCCGAUGAUGUCAAAGAUUUAUCGCUGAAAGGUGGCCUCGCGUCUGAUUAGAUAGUUGGCGGGGUAACGGCCCACCAAGUCGACGAUCAGUAGCCGGACUGAGAGGUUGACCGGCCACAUUGGGACUGAGAUACGGCCCAGACUCCUACGGGAGGCAGCAGUGGGGAAUAUUGGGCAAUGGACGCAAGUCUGACCCAGCAACGCCGCGUGAAGGAAGAAGGGCUUUCGGGUUGUAAACUUCUUUUAAGAGGGAACAGAAGAAGAGGGUACCUCUUGAAUAAGCCACGGGCUAAACUACGUGCCAGCAGCAGCCGCU
rnacentral:rRNA from 1 species